rnacentral:tRNA from 1 species
UGGCUCAGUUGGUAGAGCAUGGCUCUUACAAUGCUAGGGUUGUGGAUUCGAUUCCCAU